rnacentral:rRNA from 1 species
CGAGGAUGCAAGCGUUAUCCGGAAUUAUUGGGUUUAAAGGGUACGUAGGCGGAAAAUUAAGUCAGUAGUGAAAUCCUGCAGCUUAACUGUAGAACUGUUAUUGAUACUGGUUUUCUUGAAUAUAGUUGAGGUAGGCGGAAUGUGUAAUGUAGCGGUGAAAUGCUUAGAUAUUACACAGAACACCGAUUGCGAAGGCAGCUUACUAAGCUAUGAUUGACGCUGAGGUACGAAAGCGUGGGGAGCGAACAGGAUUAGAUACCCGAGUAGUCC